rnacentral:rRNA from 1 species
CCUACGGGAGGCAGCAGUGGGGAAUUUUGGACAAUGGGCGAAAGCCUGAUCCAGCAAUGCCGCGUGAGUGGAGAAGGCCUUCGGGUUGUAAAGCUCUUUUGUCAGGGAAGAAACGGUGGGAGCUAAUAUCUCUUGCUAAUGACGGUACCUGAAGAAUAAGCACCGGCUAACUACGUGCCAGCAGCCGCGGUAAUACGUAGGGUGCAAGCGUUAAUCGGAAUUACUGGGCGUAAAGCGUGCGCAGGCGGUUUUGUAAGUCUGAUGUGAAAUCCCCGGGCUCAACCUGGGAAUUGCAUUGGAGACUGCAAGGCUAGAAUCUGGCAGAGGGGGGUAGAAUUCCACGUGUAGCAGUGAAAUGCGUAGAUAUGUGGAGGAACACCGAUGGCGAAGGCAGCCCCCUGGGUCAAGAUUGACGCUCAUGCACGAAAGCGUGGGGAGCAAACAGGAUUAGAUACCCUGGUAGUCCACGCCCUAAACGAUGUCUACUAGUUGUCGGGUCUUAAUUGACUUGGUAACGCAGCUAACGCGUGAAGUAGACCGCCUGGGGAGUACGGUCGCAAGNUUAAAACUUAAAUGAAAUUGACGG